AUUUGAGUAGUUUACUUAAAACGGAACAUUUUCGUUGUUCAGACGGGUUCCUCCCUCGAAUG
rnacentral:tRNA from 1 species